rnacentral:rRNA from 1 species
UACGUAGGUGGCAAGCGUUGUCCGGAUUUAUUGGGUUUAAAGGGUGCGUAGGCGGCCCUGUAAGUCAGUGCUGAAGUAUCCCGGCUUAACCGGGAGGGUGGCAUUGAUACUGCAGGGCUUGAGUGAAGUCGAGGUAGGCGGAAUUGACGGUGUAGCGGUGAAAUGCUUAGAUAUCGUCAAGAACACCGAUAGUGAAGACAGCUUACUAGGCUUAUACUGACGCUGAGGCACGAAAGUGUGGGGAUCAAACAGG